AUGUAUACAAUUAGUAUAUUUAUUACUAGCACCCCGCAAAAAAAGUAUCUUUAUUACCAGCACAAUGGCCUGGUCGUGGUCACGACAGCAUGCGUCGAGGUCUUGAUGGCGCCACGACUCUUCUUUCGCAUCUCCACCAAGUUGAGAGACGGUGCGACGGCGGCGAACCUGUCAUUGACCUUUAAGUCUGUCACCUUUCACGCCUACCACGCGGUGGCCAACGUCGCCCCGAGCAUCGACUUCUUCAGCUACGUCAUGGUAGAUGCCUCGCUCUCCCUCGGAAACACCAUGAUGGCCACGAUCGACCCUGCCCUGCCUGCCGACAGGGUCGCCAUCACUGGAAUCACCUUCUCGUCCAGCCCGCGCUCGCCGACCGCCUCCCACGACCCGCUCCACAACUACCCGGCUCCUCCUUCCAUGAAAAUGCAAUAUAUUUCAUAG
rnacentral:rRNA from 1 species